AUGCUACCACCGUUCCUGCGUCGUUGCUCCGGGAAAUUGGUGCUCUGCUCGCAACAUCCGAGAGCGCGCCUCCUUCUGCAUCUAUCUCAGAAAAUGGCUAGCGACACCAAUGAUUUGGAAGACAGCGAAGUGAUGUACCGUGACGAUGAUUUAGAUGAAACUUUUGCUUCGCAAAGCCAGUUUGAAGGACAGACACACUCACUCAACGUUGGUGGUGGUGACCCGCAGUUUGAUGUCAAGAAUUUUCUGAACAAUCUGCGGAACUUGUUCUACUCAUCAAAUGAGAAUGCCAAUUAUUCUAAGAAUCCGUGUGAUGCAAUGAUCAUUCUUCCAAUAUCAAUGUAUCUCCACCUGUUCAACAUUCUCCAAAUGUUACCAAUGCAAAUGUGGAUUUGCAUGAUACUGCAGAAGUCUGAUGGCACUCCAAGGCCAUGGGCAAAUGCAAAUUCUCCAAAUCGCACUGAUUUUCUAGGUGAAACUUCACAGCCUGGUGGUCCUGUCACUAAGAUUGAUUUAGAUUCUCGUGGACUGUCUAGCCCUGGGAAGUCCCCUGAUGUUGAGAUAUUAUAUGAAGUCAAGAAAGACGACAGAUUGAACAACUUCAUAGCUACUUCUGAUGUGAUUUAUAAUGACAAAAUCAACAGUCAUUCUGCUAGUAAAUCUGGAAGAGAGCUCAGUAGGUAUGGACCAAAGAGGAUUCUUAACCCUAGCAAAUAUAAUGCUUCUCCUUAUGUCAACCAGAAAUCAUCGAGAUACCCUGUUACAACAAGAAUGAUUCAAUUACAUGAUGCUAUUGUCACUUUGUCUCUUGAUGAAGAUUACAAAUACAAAACAUGCAUAGACUAUGGCAAAGUUACAGUGACAUACUUUUCCGUUGACUCAGCAUUUGAUGGAGAGAGUGAUUUUCACCAGCAUGUGUUCAAUAUUCUGAUACCAAAUUUCAAAAGGGUUUGGGACAUGUAUGGGAGCUCAAGAAAUCUUAACUGGAGAAAUUGGACCAUGCACUUUAUUGAUGUACCUAAACAAAGCAAUGAGCUUGAUUGUGGCAUAUAUACAACACUCUUUCUGAAGCAUUGGAAGCCCAGGAUAUUGAUGCAUGAUAUAGUGAAGGAUGAAGAUAUCGCAAACAUCCGAAUAAGAAUGGCGAAUGAAAUGAUGUUCACUGACCAUAAUAUCAAAAAUGACCAUAAAAAAACUGAGGUUGGUAAUGGAGAAGAAGCAGCUGUGGUGGAGUUUGCUUUUAGGUCACGGUGCCAGGUGGAUCACAUGUCUCCAAGCGCAAUUUUGAAGCUAAGGAUUCUUCGAGUUCCAAAAAGAUGGUUCCCACAAAGUCGCAACACAAUGAAGAUUUCAGCUGUCACAAGAGCUCAGCUGAAUAUUCCUUUUGGAGACACUGACAGAGUAGUGUACUGCAUAGUAACUAGAAACACUCAUUCUGCUGCUUUCUGCGUUGGACAUGCACUUUUUGACAUGUUGGGUCAUAGGAAUUUUACUAUUGCCGACCACUACAUUAAGGAUACAGUGCUAGUUGCUUUCAAGGAUUAUUUCGACGUGCUGAUUGCAGCUGGAAAUGACAUUCGGUGUGGUCCUGAAGCUCUGAUGACUAUUCGUCGAGUUUCUAGGAUUGAGCAGUGCAUUCCUGAUUGGGAUAGCUACUUCCAAAGGAACAUCAUCAUUGCACCUGAAGCAACCCAAGAUGAAGAUGUAGAUAAUGAAGAGGAUGAAGUUGUUUUUCCCAAGGGUGAUUAUGAUUCCUUUGGUGGUGGUUUCUCUGGUGGAUCAGGAGGGGAUGGUGAUGCUGGAGGUGGUGUUGGCGCAAGCGUUGCUGCUGCAUGA
rnacentral:rRNA from 1 species